rnacentral:rRNA from 1 species
GACGAACGCUGGCGGCGUGCUUAACACAUGCAAGUCGAACGGAAAGGCCCUGCUUUUGUGGGGUGCUCGAUUGGCGAACGGGUGAGUAACACGUGAGUAACCUGCCCUUGACUUUGGGAUAACUUCAGGAAACUGGGGCUAAUAUCGGAUAUGAGCUCCUGCUGCAUGGUGGGGGUUGGAAAGUUUCGGCGGUUGGGGAUGGACUCGCGGCUUAUCAGCUUGUUGGUGGGGUAGUGGCUUACCAAGGCUUUGACGGGUAGCCGGCCUGAGAGGGUGACCGGCCACAUUGGGACUGAGAUACGGCCCAGACGCCUACGGGAGGCAGCAGUGGGGAAUAUUGCACAAUGGGCGGAAGCCUGAUGCAGCAACGCCGCGUGCGGGAUGACGGCCUUCGGGUUGUAAACCGCUUUCGCCUGUGACGAAGCGUGAGUGACGGUAAUGGGUAAAGAAGCACCGGCUAACUACGUG